UACGUAGGGGGCAAGCGUUGUCCGGAAUCAUUGGGCGUAAAGAGCGUGUAGGCGGCUCGGUAAGUCCGCUCUGAAAGCCCGGGGCUCAACCCCGGGAGGCGGGCGGAUACUGUCGGGCUAGAGUCCGGAAGAGGAGAGUGGAAUUCCCGAUGUAGCGGUGAAAUGCGCAGAUAUCAGGAAGAACACCCGUGGCGAAGGCGGUUCUCUGGGACGGUACUGACGCUGAGACGCGAAAGCGUGGGGAGCGAACAGG
rnacentral:rRNA from 1 species